GGUCCUAUAGUGUAGUUGGUUAUCACCCAAGGUUUUGAUUUAAGCAAAACUUCCUUGUAACUCCGGUUCGAAUCCGGAUAGGACCU
rfam:Candida albicans SC5314 chromosome 4 sequence.